CGGCAGCAGACGCAUCUUCAACCAGUCUGAGCACGAUCUCCUGCUGCACUCACUGAAAAACAGCCUCAUUCCAGGAAGUCUGCCUUGUUUUUGUGCCGUUGUUGGGUAACACUGUGCAAAAUGGCUGUCAGUGAGGUUUAGACACACCACACAAAUCUGGAACCGAGGGAAUGUCAAAGAUAAACAACGGUGACAAAGUACAACAAGCUGCGAUUGAAAGAUGUAGGUCUUGAUGUACUAAACAUCAUUAGAGUCAUUAGUGCAUAAAAACAGAAUAAACAAUAUACACCAUACGGUAAAUAAUCACAGAAAUACUGAAAAGUGUUAUUUGUAAAGCAUUUUAUUGCACUGAUAAACAAAAUCACUUUAUUGGAUGGUGUAAUGUGCACUGGUAUUAUUUAUUUAUUUAUAAUGACAUUCAUAAUAUUUAAAAGUGGUUAAGAGAGUUUUAGAGAACUCUGCUUUGUUGUGCACAAAAAAAACUUCUUUCGCAGGACAAACCGAAUGUUCUUAUGUCACACACAUCCCGUAUUGAUUUACUGUAGAAAAUGUGACCACAACAAUGCAAUGCUAUCUAGUGC